rnacentral:rRNA from 1 species
UACGUAGGGUGCGAGCGUUGUCCGGAAUUAUUGGGCGUAAAGAGCUCGUAGGCGGUUUGUCGCGUCGGGAGUGAAAACCUCGGGCUUAACUCGGGGCUUGCUUUCGAUACGGGCAGACUAAAGGUAUGCAGGGGAGAACGGAAUUCCUGGUGUAGCGGUGAAAUGCGCAGAUAUCAGGAGGAACACCGGUGGCGAAGGCGGUUCUCUGGGCAUGAUCUGACGCUGAGGAGCGAAAGUGUGGGGAGCGAACAGG